AAACUACUUUUCCAUCUGAUAGAGUUUAUCACAAGAAAAAUGAAACUAAUCUUUGCUUCAACAUUUCAGCAAACAAAAGCAAUGCAGGUUGUUGUAAUGGCACAGAUUUCAG